rnacentral:rRNA from 1 species
UGGGGAAUAUUGGACAAUGGGGGGAACCCUGAUCCAGCCAUGCCGCGUGUGUGAAGAAGGCCUUAUGGUUGUAAAGCACUUUAAGCGAGGAGGAGGGUACUGGUAUUAAUACUACCAGGUACUGGACGUUACUCGCAGAAUAAGCACCGGCUAACUCUGUGCCAGUAGCCGCGGUAAUACAGAGGGUGCGAGCGUUAAUCGGAUUUACUGGGCGUAAAGCGUGCGUAGGCGGCUAAUUGAGUCGGAUGUGAAAUCCCCGAGCUUAACUUGGGAAUUGCAUUCGAUACUGGUUAGCUAGAGUGUGGGAGAGGAUGGUAGAAUUCCAGGUGUAGCGGUGAAAUGCGUAGAGAUCUGGAGGAAUACCGAUGGCGAAGGCAGCCAUCUGGCCUAACACUGACGCUGAGGUACGAAAGCAUGGGGAGCAAACAGG